rnacentral:rRNA from 1 species
AACGAACGCUGGCGGCAUGCCUAACACAUGCAAGUCGAACGAGAUCUUCGGGUCUAGUGGCGCACGGGUGCGUAACGCGUGGGAAUCUGCCCUUUGGUUCGGAAUACCAGUUGGAAACGACUGCUAAUACCGGAUGAUGACGAAAGUCCAAAGAUUUAUCGCCAGAGGAUGAGCCCGCGUAGGAUUAGCUAGUUGGUGUGGUAAAGGCGCACCAAGGCGACGAUCCUUAGCUGGUCUGAGAGGAUGAUCAGCCACACUGGGACUGAGACACGGCCCAGACUCCUACGGGAGGCAGCAGUGGGGAAUAUUGGACAAUGGGCGAAAGCCUGAUCCAGCAAUGCCGCGUGAGUGAUGAAGGCCUUAGGGUUGUAAAGCUCUUUUACCCGGGAUGACAAUGACAGUACCGGGAGAAUAAGCUCCGGCUAACUCCGUGCCAGCAGCCGCGGUAA